GCCUAGAUAGCUCAAUUGGAUAGAGCAGGGAGCAUACAUGUAAGGACUGUGUUUGUGAUCAAUCCAAGGUUGUGAGUUCAAAUCUCACUCCAGGUG
rfam:Moniliophthora roreri MCA 2997 sctg_0826_0001, whole genome shotgun sequence.